AACGAACGCUGGCGGCAGGCUUAACACAUGCAAGUCGAACGCAUCCUUCGGGGUGAGUGGCAGACGGGUGAGUAACGCGUGGGAACGUGCCCUUCAGUUCGGGAUAACCCAGGGAAACUUGGGCUAAUACCGGAUACGUGCGAGAGCAGAAAGAUUUAUCGCUGAAGGAUCGGCCCGCGUCUGAUUAGCUAGUUGGUGGGGUAAUGGCCCACCAAGGCGACGAUCAGUAGCUGGUCUGAGAGGAAGAUCAGCCACAUUGGGACUGAGACACGGCCCAAACUCCUACGGGAGGCAGCAGUGGGGAAUAUUGGACAAUGGGCGCAAGCCUGAUCCAGCCAUGCCGCGUGAGUGAUGAAGGCCUUAGGAUUGUAAAAUUCUUUCACCGGGGACGAUAAUGACGGUACCCGGAGAAGAAGCCCCGGCUAACUUCGUGCCAGCAGCCGCCGUAA
rnacentral:rRNA from 1 species